GACGAACGCUGGCGGCGUGCUUAACACAUGCAAGUCGAACGGAGUGGCGAACGGGUGAGUAACACGUGGGUGAGCUGCCUUGCACUCUGGGAUGAGCUUGGGAAACUAGGUCUAAUACCGGAUAGUGCAAGAUGAGCUCGCGGCAUAUCAGCUUGUUGGUGGGGUAAUGGCCUACCAAGGCGUCGACGGGUAGCCGGCCUGUGAGGGUGUACGGCACCAGUGGGACCGAGAGACGGCCCAGGUUCCUACGGGAGGCAGCAGGGGGGAAUAUUGAACAAUGGGCGGACGCCUGAUGCAGCGAGGCCGCGUGGGGGAUGACGGGCUUAGGGUUGUAAACGCCGUUCGAAAGGGACGCGGUACCUGUAUAAGAAGCACCGGCUAACUCCGUGCCAGCAGCCGCGGUAAUAC
rnacentral:rRNA from 1 species